rnacentral:misc_RNA from 1 species
UUAAGUUCAGCGGGUAUCCCUACCUGAUCCGAGGUCAACCUUGUAAAAAAAGGGGGUUGUCAUAGCGCCUAGGCCUCUCCUUCCAGCGACGAGUAGUACUGCGCUAGAGGUCGGGCUGUGGCCGCCACUGAUUUGAGGCAAGCCCUAGAGGGCGAGCCCAACACCAAGCGGAGCUUGAGGGUUGUAAUGACGCUCGAACA